rnacentral:rRNA from 1 species
GAUGAACGCUAGCGGCAGGCUUAAUACAUGCAAGUCGAGGGGUAGCAAGAUUGUAGCAAUACAAUUGUUGACGACCGGCAAACGGGUGCGGAACACGUACACAACCUUCCUACAAGUGGGGAAUAGCCCAGAGAAAUUCGGAUUAAUACCCCGUAACAUAGCGAUGUGGCAUCACAUUGCUAUUAUAGCUUCGGCGCUUGUUGAUGGGUGUGCGGCUGAUUAGAUAGUUGGCGGGGUAACGGCCCACCAAGUCUACGAUCAGUAGCUGAUGUGAGAGCAUGAUCAGCCACACGGGCACUGAGACACGGGCCCGACUCCUACGGGAGGCAGCAGUAAGGAAUAUUUGACAAUGGACGCAAGUCUGAUCCAGCCAUGCCGCGUGAAGGAUUAAGGUCCUCUGGAUUGUAAACUUCUUUUAUAAGGGACGAAAAAAGGUCUUUCUAGAUCGUCUGACGGUACCUUAUGAAUAAGCACCGGCUAACUCCGUGCCAGCCGCCGCAGUAAAAC